CCGAAAACAAGUAUUGCAGGUGAGAGCCUGGCAAGGAGAAGAAGCUCUGCUCCACAUCUACUGCAGCACAUCUUGAGGUGGAAAACCGGAAUAUCAGCGCUGGACACUGCGAGGCUUCACGCAGAAACAGAAAGAGGAAAACUGAUCAUGCUGCAUUUUUAUAUGUCUCAGACCAGCUCCAAAUAGGACCAGACAACCACAAGUCCUCUACCAGGAGAACUUUCUUCACUUGUUUUGGGUGAGGACAUACAUCCCAGCACUGGACCAAGACUGACUUGCAAUUAUGGGACCAGCUUGGACACGGCAUGUUUCCCUGAUGUCUGUUUCUGGAGGGUCUGGAUGCUCUCCCAGGAAGAGAUCCCUUAUUUUCAGGAAAUUUGAGCCUGCCUUCCACAUCGCCAAAAUUGUGUUGUAGAAGAUUAACAGAUCACACAACCUGAUUCAACCUGAUUCAACAAUAUUCAAGGAAAGAAUUGUUCUGAAGUGAGAAAGGUGAAAAAAAACCUAAGCCUUUAUGACUGGACAGCUGAGACAUGAUGGUCUUCUUAUGAAAAACCAUUAAUCUCCACAAAUUUCAGAUUUCUUCACUGCUAACAUAGUUAUUAAAUGGCCAAGUGCUAGGUUAGAAAAUAUCUACAAAUAAACUACUACUAAAACAGCUGGCAACUUUCCAUUACACUGAGUGCAUGGCUUUCUUUUAUUGUGUGAUCAGCUUUUCGAGCCUGAGCAACAUAUAGCAAUUAGUUCAAGCAGCAGCUAUAUCUCUUACUGAGAUAAUAUUGACCAAAAUAUAAAUAAAUU